rnacentral:rRNA from 1 species
UACGUUGGGGGCGAGCGUUGUCCGGAAUUAUUGGGCGUAAAGAGCGUGUAGGCGGUUCGGUAAGUCUGCCGUGAAAACCUGGGGCUCAACCCCAGGCGUGCGGUGGAUACUGCCGGGCUAGAGGGUGGUAGAGGCGAGUGGAAUUCCCGGUGUAGCGGUGAAAUGCGUAGAUAUCUGGAGGAACACCGGUGGCGAAGGCGGCAUCCUGGACCGGUAUUGACGCUGAGGCGCGAAAGCUAGGGGAGCAAACGGG